CAGGUAAACUCCGUCCGGACUCCUACGGGAGCCGGACUCCACCCACAACCCCAACCGAAAGGAGGACCCUUCCCGGACUUCUACAGAGGUCGGACUCCGACCGCUACCGAGCUUCAAUCAACAGACCCGCGCCCCCUGACAGGCCACCAAAAUGGCCACGACCCUGCUCCACUUCCUGUGGCAGACUCCGCGCAGUUCCAUCAUUCCAUGACAGGCCGCAGUAACCAUCGCCACCCUGCUCCACUCCCUGUGGCAGAUUCCACACAGCUCCACUACCCCCUGGC
rnacentral:lncRNA from 1 species